AGUGAACGCUGGCGGCGUGCCUAAUACAUGCAAGUCGAACGGAGUGGCGCACGGGUGUGUAAUGUAUAGCUAAUCCGUCCUUCACUAGAGGACAACAGUUGGAAACGGCUGCUAAUACUCUAUAGUGUAGGAUGAGGCUAUAUUGUAUCAGCUAGUUGGUGCGGUAUUGGCUCACCAAGGCUAUGACGCAUAACUGGUCUGAGAGGAUGAGCAGUCACACUGGAACUGAGACACGGUCCGGACUCCUACGGGAAGCGGCAGUAGGGAGUAUUGCUCAAUGGGGGAAACCCUGAAGCAGCAACGCAGCGUGGAGGAUGACACUUUGCGGAGCAUAAACUCCUUUUGGUAGGGAAGCGGUACCUAACGAAUAAGCACCGGCUAACUCCGUGCCAGCAGCCGCGGUAAUAC
rnacentral:rRNA from 1 species